AUAUUUACCUAGUGCCGGGGCCUCGUUGAUCACCGAGGACAAACCCCAGGGCGAGGCGCGGGCAUUGCACUGCGCUCGCGUUGACCCCUGCCUACUACCACAAACUGGGGCAUGGGGCAAGCAAAUUGC
rnacentral:snRNA from 1 species